CGCGAGAUGGAGCAGUGGCAGCUUAUUGGUCUCCUAAGCCAAAGGUCGAAGGUUCGAUUCCUUCUCUCGCUACCA
rnacentral:tRNA from 1 species